GACAGAGGCCCCGAGCGUUAAUCGGAAUCACUGGGCUUAAAGGGUGCGUAGGCCGGCCCGCAAGUGCUUCGUGAAAGCCCACGGCUCAACCGUGGAACAGCGGGGCAUACUGCGGGUCUUGAGGCAGGUAGGGGUCGCGAGAACAGUAGGUGGAGCGGUGAAAUGCGUAGAUAUCAUUUGGAACGCCAAUGGUGAAAACAGGUUGCUGGGAGUGUGCUGACGCUGAGACACGAAAGCCAGGGGAGCAAACGGG
rnacentral:rRNA from 1 species